rnacentral:rRNA from 1 species
AUCCUGGCUCAGGAUGAACGCUAGCUACAGGCUUAACACAUGCAAGUCGAGGGGCAGCAUGGUCUUAGCUUGCUAAGACUGAUGGCGACCGGCGCACGGGUGAGUAACACGUAUCCAACCUGGCCCAUACUCGGGUAUAGCCUCUCGAAAGGGAGAUUAAUCCCCGAUGUUGUUGUUAUGUCGCAUGAUGUUUCAACCAAGAAUUUCGGUAUGGGAUGGGGAUGCGUUCCAUUAGCUUGUUGGCGGGUAACGGCCCACCAAGGCGACGAUGGAUAGGGGUUCUGAGAGGAAGGUCCCCCACACUGGAACUGAGACACGGUCCAGACUCCUACGGGAGGCAGCAGUGAGGAAUAUUGGUCAAUGGGCGUAAGCCUGAACCAGCCAAGUAGCGUGAAGGAUGACUGCCCUACGGGUUGUAAACUUCUUUUGUAUGGGAAUAAAGUUCAGUACGUGUACUGUUUUGUAUGUACCAUACGAAUAAGCAUCGGCUAAUUCCGUG